CCAAGUCUCUCAAUCUUCCUGCCUUGGCCUCCAGCCUCGGCCUCCCAAAGUGUUGGGAUUAUGCACGUGGGCCAUGGCACCCGGCAAUCAGAGACUACUGUUGCCCACUCUAUCUUGGUUGUGUUCAUGCCAGGCUGGGGUGGGGCUGGGACUGGAUUAUAAUGUUAUAAGGUGACACAGAGUGUCUCCUGGAUCCCGUCGUUUUAGGUGUGCAUUUACAUCCAUCCCCUCUGUACCUGCUAAAUAAAGUCUGGGAAACUAGAGUGUGCAAUAAGUCCCACAGCUCUGGGUUUCUAGAUCCCUAGUGGGUGCGGUCUCUGGAGGUUGGGGAUUGGGGCUGCAUGCCUUCUCCCUUAUCCUCCAGCAUGGUCUUCUCAGGGGGUGACCCUCUGACCUCCAGAAUUCUCCCCCUCCCUCUCCAGCUGGAAGCCCCAGGCAGGAGCCUAAGGAAGGAUGGCUCUGCAGUUUCUUCAUCUGUGAAAUGGAGCUGAUAACAGCACUUACUUUCCAGGCUUAUUGUAAGGAAUCAGUGAGCUACUACCUUCAAAGAGCUUAGUACUUGGCACACAAUACACUCUUUGCUGUUAUUACUACCAAAUGGAGCAUUCCCAGGAGUUGGAAUCUGGUCAGCAGGGCUCCCUCCCUGUAAAACCCGGGCUGCAAGAAUUACUCCCCACAAGCAACAUUCUUUCAACUUUUAUAAGAAACUCCAAGAAGUCUAUGUGACUCAUUUUGAAGUCACCGGGCAUGCGUGCAACCACCCACAGAUAUUUAAUGAUUGGUUGGGGGGAGGGCACUGGACUAGGCCCUAGAGGCACAAAGAUCCGUAGGACCCAUUUCCUGUCCUAGGGAGGAGACUCAGACAAACCGAUAUUCACAAUUCAGCCGGGCACGUGGCAAGGCCACCCAGAGAUUGUGAGGACAGGAGAGCAUUUCAAAGCAAGGCAGCUUGGUGUGCCAGGACAGAGGCAAGGGUAUUUUGGGUGCUUGGAAAACCCUGGGGUGAAUGGAAGGCAGGCUGUAUGGGAAAAAUGACCACACACUCCGGCUUUAGGGUGUGAGGUUCAUUGGGAAAGACAGGCUGGGCUUUAGGGGUGAGAAACUGGCUAUGUAUCUACCCAGUAGACUGAGAACCUUCUCUGCCACACCAGGCCGGGGGUGGGGCUGGGGGUGCAUUAGACCUUGGACAGAGCCCCUGCUCUCCGGGAUGGGUGGACUGCCCAAUGGAAGAGACAGUGACAAGACAAGCAUUCACAGAUUCCACGCCCCUCUCACACCCACCUGCUCCCCUCCCCCCACCCCUGCUGCUAGCCCCGAGGUAUCCAGGAGCCUGCUGGAGCCUGGGAAUCAAGCUCUGGUCCUUGGUGGGGGGAGGGAGUAGGCUCCAGCUCCCGGGUGGGGUGUGGUCUCCAGGGAUGGCAUCCUCAGCCCAGGGGUGGGGACUGUACCCCCUUCUCCUUUAUCCUUCAGCGUGGUCUUCUCAGGGGGUGACCCUCUGACUUCCAGACUGUUGCCCUUCACCCUCCAGUGAAAGCCCCUGGGCAGGGUCCUAGGGAGGGGGGCUCCAGAGGCCUUUGGUUUCCAUGCAGCUGGGAGACAAGGGAUGGGCCGUAAAAGACUCUGGGGUGCCCUGGGUGCUCUUGGAUUGCUCAGCCAAGGCCGGGGCCUGAGUCAGGUCCAGGGGAGAGCAGGGCCGGGAUGCUGGUGCCUGGCCCAGGAGAAGGGAGGGGGCGAUGGGCAAAGGGGUCAGGCCGAGGGAGCAGGCGGGGCAUCGGGAGUUGAGGGCGCCGAGUGGGGGUGGGAGGACGAGGGGUCCGGCCGGUGCAGAGGGGGAGGCGGCCCCCGGGGAGGGGCACGCUAUGUCUUUAAGAGCUGCCUGAGCGCAGGUUGCAGCUGCCUGGCCAGCCCGAGAGACAGCGGAGAUUCAUUACCCGCCGACACAAUGACCAUUGAUGGCCCCGUGGCGUUAUUCAAAUCCAGUACCAAUUGCAGCCGAGCCCCUUUCUCCGCGCCAGGCCCGUAUUGUUGGAGCGGCCCACUAAAAGCCCGCCCCGGCCCCGAGCCGCCAGAGGCGCCCGCUCGGGUUCAGCCCUGCGCCUCGGCAGCCCGCCGGCUCCCAGUCCGGCUCCCCGGGCGCUGCAGGUGACCCGGCGGCGCAUUCCAGCACUCUCCGCCGCCCGGGCCACCGCCGCCACCGCCACCGCAGGCGCCCCGGCCGCGACUCAGCCACAGGAAAGCGGAGAGCGCCCGAGCCGUACCGGCCGGCAGGGUCCUCCAGUCGAUCGCGUCGUUUUUCCUCCUUUCAAAUUUCGGCCGGAACGAAGCCUGCACGCAGCGGCGGGGCCGAACGUGGUCCGCCCUCAGCCCAAGCCGCAGGAAGUCGGGGGUGAAAGAGGCCGGCCGAAUGCGCCCGCUAACUCGUUUCGCAGUUGUUCUAACUUAUCACCCCAAUACUCUCUACCUAAACAAAACAAAUCCUCAACCAACCCCUAAAUCCCAAACAAACCAACCCCUCCCGCAAGCCCUCCGGACGGACCGAGAGGCUGAGCCUCCUCCAGCCGCUGCCAGGGUCCGACGGGCAAGCGUCGCCAACGAUGCGCUCCAGCCCGGCAAUCGCCUUGGCUUUGGAAAUAGAACUUGGAAAAACGAAUCCUUUUCAUUAAAGAAAAAUCUUCGGAGAUA